rnacentral:lncRNA from 1 species
AGGGACCAGCCCUUUGGUAGGUGCGCUUUGCUUCCUAACCCGUUGCCGGGUUGGAGAUUCCACCUCCGAAGUUUUCUUUCUGACUUUUGAUUUUACAUUCCUAGUACAGUGGAGAAGCCCAGGCGGCCUAGAAUCCAGUGUCGUCCGUGAGUGCUUGGCUGGUGUUCAAGUGCAUCUUCCAGCCUGAGACCGCGUGGACUCGCUCAUCGUGAGGGCGAGAGGAGGAUAAGCCCAUUGGGCUGUCGGCUGAGAGUGAGACCAUCCACAAUAUUGUUUGAACAUCUGAAGACAUGGGGAACUUGCCAUCUGAUAUCUGAUAACAGACUUCCUGUAAAGCAGGACUGGUAGUUUCCUGAUAACAAAUUCUUCAAUAUGAAGCAGAUUGCUGAUGAAAUCCUUGGCAUCGUCGGAGAUCUCAUCGAAUGCCUCGUCGUCGAAGUCCCAGGUGGCUGAGGUAACGUUGGCCAAGGUUUCGUUAUCGUUGUCUCCCAUGAAGGGGGAAAGGCCACUGACUCUGGAGAGACAAGAGCAGGACAGCAGGUGUGGCUAGGAGAGGGCGCGACGACCAGAUGAGGGAAUUGAGGCACAGCCCAGGCUCAAGUCACCUGCCCAAAGAUUCACAGCCAGUGAGAUUGGAAGCCAGGUAUCUGCCUCUAGAGCCUGUCCUCUUAAAUGCUAUACUAUCCUAACAUUUCUGUAAAGAUGAAGUAAAUUGCAGUGUUCAGCACUGGCACCAGGCCUGGUCCACAGUAAGGAGGCGGUCCAUGCCCGGAGAUCUCAUGCAGUUCUGCUGGGUUCCCUCCACUGCCUUACCAAGCUGUGAGUGCAGGAAUGACUUUGUGACCAGCAGCUUAAGCCAAAUAAACUUUAUAAGGUAAAGAAUUUCAAAACAAAA